GACGUAGGAGGCGAGCGUUAUCCGGAUUUACUGGGCGUAAAGCGCGCGCAGGCGGCUUCGUUAGUCGGAUGUGAAAGCUCCUGGCUUAACCGGGAGAGGCCAUUCGAUACUGCGAGGCUUGAGGUUGGAAGAGGGGUGUGGAAUUCCCGGUGUAGUGGUGGAAUGCGUAGAUAUCGGGAGGAACACCUGUGGCGAAAGCGGCACCCUGGUCCACACCUGACGCUGAGGUGCGAAAGCGUGGGUAGCAAAC
rnacentral:rRNA from 1 species